rnacentral:rRNA from 1 species
ACGCUGGCGGCACGCUUAACACAUGCAAGUCGAACGAGAUCUUCGGAUCUAGUGGCAGACGGGUGAGUAACGCGUGGGAACCUGCCCAGUAGUAGAGAAUAACUUGGGGAAACUUAAGCUAAUACUUUAUACGUCCUUCGGGAGAAAGCUUUAUGCGCUAUUGGAUGGGCCCGCGUUAGAUUAGUUUGUUGGUGAGGUAACGGCUCACCAAGGCGACGAUCUAUAGCUGGUCUGAGAGGAUGAUCAGCCACACUGGGACUGAGACACGGCCCAGACUCCUACGGGAGGCAGCAGUGGGGAAUAUUGGACAAUGGGGGCAACCCUGAUCCAGCGAUGCCGCGUGAGUGAUGAAGGCCCUAGGGUUGUAAAACUCUUUCGUCAGGGAAGAUAAUGACGGUACCUGAAGAAGAAGAUCCGGCUAACUCCGUGCCAGCAGCCGCGGUAAUACGGAGGGGUCUAGCGUUAUUCGGAAUUACUGGGCGUAAAGCGAGCGUAGGCGGAAUUGUAAGUUGGAGGUGAAAUCCCAGAGCUUAACUCUGGAACUGCCUUCAAAACUACAUUUCUUGAGUUUGGUAGAGGAGAGUGGAAUUCCUAGUGUAGAGGUGAAAUUCGUAGAUAUUAGGAGGAACACCAGUGGCGAAGGCGACUCUCUGGGCCAAUACUGACGCUGAGGUUCGAAAGCAUGGGUAGCGAACAGGAUUAGAUACCCUGGUAGUCCAUGCAGUAAACGAUGAGUGCUAGAUGUUGGGAAUUUAAAUUUCCAGUAUCGCAGUUAACGCGUUAAGCACUCCGCCUGGGAAGUACGGCC